UUGAAGUCAAACAACAGCAAGUUUUGGCCAGGGUGCAGGGAAAAAGGUAUACUCAUACAUUGGUGGUGAGACUGCAAAUUGGUGCAGCCAAUUUGGAAAGCAGUUUGGAGAUUCCUUGGAAAACUGGGAAUGGAACCACCAUUUGACCCAGCUAUUCCUCUUCUCAGACUAUACCCAAAAGACCUAAAAAUGGCAUACUACAGGGACACAGCCACAUCAAUGUUUAUAGCAGCACAAUUCACUAUAGCUAGACUGUGGAACCAACCUAGAUGCCCUUCAAUGGAUGAAUGGAUAAAAAAAUGUGGCAUUUAUACUCAAUGGAAUAUUACUCAGCACUAAAAAUAACAAGAUCAUGGCAUUUUCAGGGAAAUGGAUGGCAUUAGGGCAGAAUAUGUUAAGUGAAGUUAGCCAAUCCCCCCCAAAAAAUAAUGCUGAAUGCCUUCUCUGAUAUAAGAGGAGUGACUCAAAAUGGGAUAGGGAGGAAGAUCAUGAG
rnacentral:lncRNA from 1 species